AGAGGCAGUAGGGAGGGUGCACAGGUCAGCCGGAGGUGAGCACCGGGCGGUGGGAGGGUGGGGGGCAGCUGAGCCCUGACCCUCCGCGGGAGGGACAUCUCGGGUCAGCAGGUGCGCCGCCUCCCCUGUGGCCGCACUGCUCAGCCUUGGCUGACCUUUGCUCCCCUCCUGACCUCUGACCCCUGACCCCAGCCCUGUCUGGCUGGACUCCAGGCUCCUCAGAGCCGUGCUCUUCCGGGCGUGGGGGCCUCUGGGAACGCCCACCCCGUGGACCCACAGCGCUGCCCGCUGCCGGCUCCCUGUGGUCCGGCCACCUGACCCUGCUCGGGGUGGCGGAGGGAGGACCCGCCCCGUGAGGCCGCCGGAUACACUUGCGGUUUCCAGCACGUUGUUCCUGACCUCACUUCUAAGGGUUUUCAGAGAACCUCAUUUGGACAGAAAGGAGCGAAUUCCUGUCCACGAGCGCCAUCUUUGCACCUGCCCAUGUGGGGCCGGGGACUUGGACGGGACCCUCGGAUGUGGACCUGGGACCCCCUUGGCUGUGGACCUGGGACCCCCUCAAUGUGGACCUGGGAGCCCUCGGUUCUGGACCCAGGAACCCCUCGGCUCUGGACCCGGGACCCCCGGACGUGGACGGCGGCGCCUCGGCCUCGGCUCAGGUAGGACUCCUCAGGUGGGGGAGGCAGUGGCUUUUGACCCUGAGGGGCUGAGGUGACCCCUCGCGGGGCCCCCUCCCCACCCGGGGUCGGUCAGCGAGGGGGGGGCCCUCGAUUAUGCAGCUGCGAACCCUUAUGUCAUCAUGUAGUACAUCCCCUCUAAGUGCUAUGGAUCGUGGGGGAGGCACUUUUCUGUGCCAACUUGACCCUGUUGACCGGGUCCAGGGCGGCAGGUUCUCUGCGGGGACCAGGCUCGGGGACGGUGGGGCACGGUUGCGGAGGGGUCCUGGGGCUCUGUUGGCAGUACUGUGAGGAGCUGUGGCGCGCAGGCGCUAUGUGAGGUGUAGGUGAUGUCAGGACGAGGGACGAGUGAGCCGGUUUGCUGACCACGUGGAGGGGGAGCCCGGCCGCCCAGUGCACCUGCUGAGGGCCCCCUCUGGGUGGUGUGCGGAGAGGCCGCUCCCAGACCCCUGGGGACCUCAUUUAACUGUGUUCUGCUUGUGAGGCCAGGCGAACCGGAUGCCGUGGGCCCAGCGGGGGGUGGGCUGCUCUGGGCCAAGUCUGUGACCCUGUUCCUGCGAACUCACCUUCCUUCUCACUCUCCACACCACUGGUUUCCUUUGGCAGCAUUUAACUUCCGAGCCAUGGAUUUAAAAACACAUUAAUUUGGAAUAAAGCACAAACAUUAAAAAAUGUAACUCGUGCUGUGACCAACUUUCACUUUAUUGUUUAUAAACAGUGUAUUUUUCUCGGUUUGGAGGGAAAACAAAUAUAAUUAUUUCCAAUAACAUUCAACAAAUGAUUUAAGGGAUAACGUUUUCUCUGAUGUCUUAAACCUAAAGGUAUAAUCUGUCCUGCCAAAUUACACCCCCCCCCCCAAAAAAAAAACNCCCCCCCCCCCAAAAAAAACACACUAAAUUCCAAGGGAAGUAAAUUGAAGAAUGGACACUUUGUAAUAGGAAGAGAUUACCAGGUAUUGUACAGCCUUAAGAAUUUCUGCCUAGCUGAUUUCAUUAAUGAAAUGGCAAACUUCCCACACAACACCGUUAGCGAUUUUGGCUGGGGGACCCCCAGGAAAGGUAAGUUGUCUUGAUAAUGUUAAGUUCUUAAGCAACAGAAGCGGGAAGCAAUCUUCUCUCCUGCUGGAGCACAUUCUCUAACCUCUGCCUUAUCAAUUUGCAGAAAGAAAAUUAUCUCAAAGCCGUGUUUGAUUGAAUUCUAAUUAAUCAGCUUUCCUUCUGGCUCCCAGGAUUAGAUAACUAGAGGAGUGAAACUUCAUAAUCAGGAAUUGAGAAUGAAGGUUACAGAGGCACAAAUUGAUGGUUGAAGUAUAAUGCACACGCUAUAAAAUGUAGAAGCAUACAUAUGCUUUAAUUCUAUUAAAGUAAAUAUUCAAAUCAUAAUUCUUAUUAUCUUCCUAGAGAACAUUAAGUUUAUUAAGUUGUCAUAGAAUUUUCUUCAGGUGGGUUAGGAUUUUAUUUAGAAGUGAAAAUAGGAAUUUCUUUCUUAAACUUACAAGUUAAAGGAGUUAAUGACUUGAAGUAUUUCAUAUAAUCAUAUAACACACAGUAAGUAGAGCCAAAAGAAGACUCAUAUUUAGUCUAUAGCAAUGCAACUUUGGGCAAUCAAAUUGGCUCUUUGAAAUAAUCCAGCAGAAGGCAUGCUUUUCUUCCGUUUCUGAUGGCAUCAUAGUUUCUCAUCAGAGGUGGUCACAACUUCACUUGACUGUUUUUUAAAACCUUUUUUUUUUAAUUUUUAAAACUACUUAUACUUGCUUUUAUAUAUUUUCAGCGUAAAAACCACCAAAUUUGAGCAUGGUUUAUUAAACUGACAUUUUUUUCCCACCUAUGAUAACCUUAUUUUGGUUCAUAGUGUGUACAUAUUCGUCAUUUACUUUUGUUUCUAACAUUGUGUUUUCUGAUAUUUGCUUUAGAGAAUUGAGUUUAAUAACAUCUCGUGGUAAAGUCUUCAGCCUAAAUUUUUUUCAUCCAGUUUGGAUGAGAUAUAAUUGGUGUCCAGUGCUGUGUUAUGUUGAAAGUGCACAACAUUGUGAUCUAACUGACAAACGUCAUGAAGUGAUGGCCACAGUAAUUUUAUCUCUUGUUUGUUUUCACCUAAUGUUUAUAGUUGUAUUAUUGGGCAUAUAACAUGUGAAAAUGUAACGAUUUGACACAACAGCACAAGGAUGUGUUUGACAAGAAAGCUAUAUUAGAGUAAGGACGCAACACUAGAAAAUAAUGUGAAUCCACAGGAAAAUAAUUAAUAUUACAAAGUCUAAAAACAUAUAUUUGCUUUCCUUCACUCUCUCAACUUAUUUAAAAUAAAUAAAAACAUACAAAGUAUGUUAUAACAAUGUAUUUUGGCAUUUGUAACAUAGCUAGAUGUAGUAUUAUAUUAUAAAAAAUAGUAAAAAAAAUGGAUGUGAGUUAUAUAACUGUUCCUUCUUUCUUUUUUUUUCCCAGUUUUUUGGUAAUAUUAUAUAUAAUCACUGGAUUUGGUCAGUAUAUAUCUAAAACAGAUUUUGAUAUGUUCACAUGUGCAUUGUUAGCCUUAAAUGAACCACUAAGAAAAUAACUAAAAAAUGUAGUGAAAACAUAUUUGAAGGAUUUAAAACUUUAUUGUGAAAAUAUUUACUCAAUAAAAAAUAAAAAAGGAAGAACAGAUGACUAUAAGAUGAAAUAUAUAGAAAACCAAAGUAUAAUGGCAAAUAUAAGUCCAACUAUAUCAGUGAUGACUUAGAGGUGAACUCAGUAAUCAAAUCCAAAGACAUGUAUUUUCAGAUUGGUAAGAAAAUCCACUUGUGUACUGUCUACAGGAAAUACAAUUUGGAUUCAAAGCAAAUAUUGAAAGUGAAAGGAUGGAAAAAGUUAUAUUGUCGUUUUAAUAAAUGGAAUGGCUAUACUAUUAUCAGACAACAUGAGCUUUAAAACUAAGCUAUUUUAGUUUAGAGGUAAAGAGGGAUUUUUUAAAAAUAAUUUUAAAAUGUUAAUCUAUCCAAAAUAUAUAACAACCUAAUAACUGAGGUUCAAAAUUCAUGAAGCAAAAAUCGACAGGACUGGAAGGAAAAAUACAUGAUUCAAAAGAUUUCAGCUUCUCUUCAGAAACUAUCUUCAGUAAUUCAGAGAACAUCUGGAAGAUCAAUAAGGAAGGAGAAACCUUAAAAACACUAUAAACCACCUAAACUUAAUAAACACCUAUAGAAUAUUCCACCCUAAACAACAGCAGGACACUCAUUUUUUCAAAUGCCCUUGGGACAUUCUCCACAAUAGACAAUAUGUAAGCUAUAGAACCAGUUUUAACAAAUUGAAAGACACUGAAAUCAAAAUAUGUUGUUAAAUCACAGUAGAAUGAAAUUAAAAAUUGGUGUCAGAAGGAAAACAGAAAAAUGCACAAAUAUGUGGAGAUUAAACAAGACCCUCCUGAAUAACCAAUUGGCCAAAGAAUAAAUCACAGUGAAAGUACUUUGAAAUGAAUGAAAAUGAACACACAAUAUAUUGAAGCAUGCAGCUAAAGCAGUUUAGACAAAUUUAUAGAUUAAAAUCCUAUAUUAAAAAUAGUUCUAGGAGUUCCUGUUGUGGUUCAGUGGUUAACAAACCCGACGACUAAUAACCAUGAGGUUGGGGGUUCAAUCCCUGGCCUCGCUCAGUGGGUUCAGGAUCCACCUUUGCUGUGAGCUGUGAUGUAGGUUGCAGACAUGGAUCGGAUCCUGAGUUGGUGUGGCUGUGGCAUAAGCCGGCGGCAACAGCUCCCAUUAGAUCCCUAGCCUGCAAACCUCCAUUAUGCCACGGGUGCAGCCCUAAAAACACACACACAAAAAAGUUCUAAAACAAGUAACCUAGUCUAUCCUAUUUAAAAAAACAAAAACAAAAACAAACAAAGAAAAACAAACAAAAAAAGGAAAAACAAACAAACACAAAGUAA
rnacentral:lncRNA from 1 species